UCAAAUCAAACACCAUUUUUGUCAUAUUGAUAUGUUGGUACAAUCAUAGAUAGAAGAGGAAGAGGGAUUGGUAACGGAAGUACCCUUGUGUAACAUCCGCUUUACCCGCGGUUUAAUCGAGGCUGUGCCAAGAAGCUAAAGCUGUAGAUGGGCGUGGUCCGGCUAGGCUAAGCUGAUGGCCUAUUUCUACACACAGUGCAUAAUAUACCACAAGCAUAUAUGCUCAGUCUGUGCAACUUACUCAUAUUUAAAGGUCUAUACCUAUUUUAGCAGUUGCAAUACAAGACUAUAAAUAGCAGCUGUUCGCCUAAAACUUUACUGGAAUGUCCCUUUUUACUGGGUGUGGUCAGUCAUUAGCAAGUACAACACGUGGCUCACAGACUGGGCGUGUUAUAAAUUGCUGAAAAAGAUUAUGUCUCGAGAAAACACAACUUUCUUAUUUUGAGCGAGUUACCCGGCAAAAUAGCCUCGUUUAUAGGGCGUAACGCGGAUAGUUUUCGAGGUUUUACUGCAGAUUCAAUGUAAAAUGAUCACGUGAACUGCUUCCGUUACCAAUCCCUCUUACUCUUCUAUCUAUGGUACAAUCAACAUUUUUGACAAAUACCAUGAUUAAACCAAAGAUCGUACUAGUCACGUGAUGUUAGCCUAUAAUUAUAAUAUGUUUCCUAUAUGUGUUACAUUAUUAUUUAACCUCUGAACUCGUAUGAACUAAACAGUUUAUGUCUUGUCUCUUCAGAACACUGCUGGUGACGACCAUAGUGACAAGGUAAGUACAACUACUCACAAAUGUGUGGUAAUCUACUCUCCAGACUGCAAGCACUGUAGAAUGGCAGCUCUAUCCACACAUUCAGCUGGAUCACACCAACUACAGGAGAGUCGACUGUGACCUGUUUGUGGAAAAGAGUAUCAGUUUAAGGGAGGCCUUGUGUGGCUUCACUUUCACUCUGUACCCCCUGGACGGGAGGAAUGUGGGUGUGUCCAGGUCACCAGGAGCAGUGCUGUGACCAGGUGAGUAGGUGGCUGGUGGGAGGAGGAUUGUGUAUAGGGCUGCCUUUGAGAGGAGUGUACAUACAAGCUAUUAUAUAUAGUAUGUCCCAGCCUUACAAGCUGAGGGGACAUGUGUUAGGGUUAGGACCUUAGGACUUUUGACAUGGCAGCUUUAACAACUCUUAAAUUUCCAUUUAAUAUUAUAUAUCCUACAGCCCAAAGUGUUAAUUUUUGGGUUAGCAAUUUUCGCUGUUUUUGGUGGGUUAGCAAUCCCACAAAAAUUAGGUACACGAAAUGCUUAGCUAACGGAAGACAUAACGUCAUUUGACCAAAUAUCCAACGAAGAGCCAUUCCACGCAAUUUUAAGUACCUCGAACAUUUCGCGCUACAUUGAAUAUGAUACAUACAUGUCAGGGUGUCAUACAGGGGGAAAGGGGGGAUAUCCCCCCCUAGCUCCAAUUUCCCCCCCCCUUUCAAUUAUGACUGAGUGUCCAUAGCUGGGUAUUGAAAUAACAGUUGACCUUUUUUUAGCAACAUUUUCUGGUUAUUUUUCUCAUUUCCCCCCUCUACUUCAAAAUCCUGUAUGACACCCUGCAUGUAGUCUUGUGAUACUAACAGUGGUAGUGCUGUGUGGGCAGUAUUCUAUAUACCUAAGAAUACUAUUGGGUAAAAAUAAGUACCCACCACUAAUCAAGUGGUACAAUGUGUGUGUACAUGUACAGUACUGUGUGUGUGUGUGUGUGUGUGCGUGUGCGUGUGUGCGUGUGCGUGUGGGUGUGUGUGUGUGUGUGUGUCCAGGGUCUGGAGGGUGAGGGGAUGCCAGUGUUCAGGAGGCCUCAUGUCAAGGGCAAACUCUAUGUUCAGUUCACCAUCCAAUUCCCUGACUCUGGUUUCCUGGAGGAGAGUCAACUAAAGGAGUUGGAGUGUCUCCUGCCCCCACAGGACCUGACCCACCAGCACUGGACCCAGAGGCAGAGGAAGUGGAUAUGAUAGAGAGUGAGGGGACGAGGGGAGUGGGCGGGGCACAAGGGAGUCGAACUAUAUACGAUGAAGAUGAGGAGGAUGAAGGAGUGGGCGGGGCACAGAGGGUGGGCUGCUCUCAACAGUGAUACUCUUAGAAACUCUAUAUUCACCGCUUUGAUUGUAUUU